GUGGUUUGUCGCGUUGUUCGUGAAAUCUCACGGCUUAACUGUGAGCGUGCGGGCGAUACGGGCAGACUUGAGUACUGCAGGGGAGACUGGAAUUCCUGGUGUAGCGGUGGAAUGCGCAGAUAUCAGGAGGAACACCGGUGGCGAAGGCGGGUCUCUGGGCAGUAACUGACGCUGAGGAGCGAAAGCGUGGGGAGCGAACAGGAUUAGAUACCCUGGUAGUCCACGCCGUAAACGGUGGGUACUAGGUGUGGGUUUCCUUCCUUGGGAUCCGUGCCGUAGCUAACGCAUUAAGUACCCCGCCUGGGGAGUACGGCCGCAAGGCUAAAACUCAAAGAAAUUGACGGGGGCCCGCACAAGCGGCGGAGCAUGUGGAUUAAUUCGAUGCAACGCGAAGAACCUUACCUGGGUUUGACAUGCACAGGACGCCGGCAGAGAUGUCGGUUCCCUUGUGGCCUGUGUGCAGGUGGUGCAUGGCUGUCGUCAGCUCGUGUCGUGAGAUGUUGGGUUAAGUCCCGCAACGAGCGCAACCCUUGUCUCAUGUUGCCAGCGGGUAAUGCCGGGGACUCGUGAGAGACUGCCGGGGUCAACUCGGAGGAAGGUGGGGAUGACGUCAAGUCAUCAUGCCCCUUAUGUCCAGGGCUUCACACAUGCUACAAUGGCCGGUACAAAGGGCUGCGAUGCCGCGAGGUUAAGCGAAUCCUUUUAAAGCCGGUCUCAGUUCGGAUCGGGGUCUGCAACUCGACCCCGUGAAGUCGGAGUCGCUAGUAAUUGCAG
rnacentral:rRNA from 1 species